UACGUAGGGGGCAAGCGUUGUCCGGAAUCAUUGGGCGUAAAGAGCGUGUAGGCGGCCCGUUAAGUCCGCUGUGAAAGUCAAAGGCUCAACCUUUGAAUGUCAGCGGAUACUGCCGGGCUAGAGUCCGGAAGAGGCGAGUGGAAUUCCUGGUGUAGCGGUGGAAUGCGCAGAUAUCAGGAGGAACACCAACGGCGAAGGCAGCUCGCUAGGACGGUACUGACGCUGAGACGCGAAAGCGUGGGGAGCAAACAGG
rnacentral:rRNA from 1 species